ACUUUCAAAGGAUAACAG
rnacentral:tRNA from 1 species